rnacentral:rRNA from 1 species
UACGUAGGGGGCAAGCGUUUGUCCGGAUUUAUUGGGCGUAAAGAGCGUGUAGGCGGCUUUACAGGUCCGUUGUGAAAACUCGAGGCUCAACCUCGAGACGCCGGUGGAAACCGUAAGGCUAGAGUCCGGAAGAGGAGAGUGGAAUUCCUGGUGUAGCGGUGAAAUGCGCAGAUAUCAGGAGGAACACCCGUGGCGAAAGCGGCUCUCUGGGACGGUACUGACGCUGAGACGCGAAAGCGUGGGGAGCAAACAGG